AGUGAACGCUGGCGGUAGGCCUAACACAUGCCAGUCGAACGGCAGCACAGUAAGAGCUUGCUCUUACGGGUGGCGAGUGGCGGACGGGUGAGGAAUACAUCGGAAUCUACUUUUUCGUGGGGGAUAACGUAGGGAAACUUACGCUAAUACCGCAUACGACCUACGGGUGAAAGCCGUGGAUCUUCGGACCUUGCGCGAUUGAAUGAGCCGAUGUCGGAUUAGGUAGUUGGCGGGGUAAAGGCCCACCAAGGCGACGAUCCGUAGCUGGUCUGAGAGGACGAUCAGCCACACUGGAACUGAGACACGGUCCAGACUCCUACGGGAGGCAGCAGUGGGGAAUAUUGGACAAUGGGCGCAAGCCUGAUCCAGCAAUACCGCGUGGGUGAAGAAGGCCUUCGGGUUGUAAAGCCCUUUUGUUGGGAAAGAAAAGCAGCAGGUUAAUACCCCGCUGUUCUGACGGUACCCAAAGAAUAAGCACCGGCUAACUUCGUG
rnacentral:rRNA from 1 species